GGAUGUGAGGGCGAUCUGGCUGAGACAUCUGUCACCCCAUUGAUCGCCAGGGUUGAUUCGGCUGAUCUGGCUGGCUAGGCGGGUGUCCCCUUCCUCCCUCACCACUCCAUGUGCGUCCCUCCCGAAGCUGCGCGCUCUGUUGAAGAGGACGACCAUCCCCGAUAGAGGAGGACCAGUCUUCGGUCAAGGGUAUACGAGUAGCUGCGCUCCCCUGCUAGAACCUCCAAACAAGCUCUCAAGAAGUCAUUAAGAGAUUCAAUUAUUUCAUAAUAUAUUAUUUGUAAGCUUGUUUAGUAUG
rnacentral:snRNA from 1 species